AAUAACUCACAUAGUUUUCAAACUGGAAGGAAGUAAUUUAAUUCUCCAAUCCUCUGAUUUUUACAGAUGAGGACACUUAGGAUCAGAAAAGCAAAGUGACUUGCUCAAGGUGAUAAACCCUGAGAAGCUGGUGCAAUUGUCUUCAUUCUACAGCAGAGAAAACUGAGAUCCUUCUAAGGUACCUCUAGCUGGAUUUCAGAGUCAAGAUGGUGGAGUCC
rnacentral:lncRNA from 1 species